rnacentral:rRNA from 1 species
UUAGCCCUAAACACAGAUAAUUACAUAAACAAAAUUAUUCGCCAGAGUACUACUAGCAACAGCUUAAAACUCAAAGGACUUGGCGGUGCUUUAUAUCCUUCUAGAGGAGCCUGUUCUAUAAUCGAUAAACCCCGAUAAACCUCACCAAUUCUUGCUAAUACAGUCUAUAUACCGCCAUCUUCAGCAAACCCUAAAAAGGAAAAAAAGUAAGCGUAAUUAUGAUACAUAAAAACGUUAGGUCAAGGUGUAACCUAUGAAAUGGGAAGAAAUGGGCUACAUUCUCUACACCAAGAGAAUCAAGCACGAAAGUUAUUAUNAAACCAAUAACC